rnacentral:tRNA from 1 species
GCAGUGGCUCAAUGGAAGAGCCUCUGUUCUGCAUGCAGAAGGUCCCCCGUUCAAUCCCUGGCAUCUACA